AUAUUUACCUGGCAAGGAUGAUUCCUUGAUUAAGGUGGUUUCCUCAGGGUAACGCUUAUCCAUUGAAAGCUGGAUGAGUUGAAGCCUAUGAUUUCCCCAAAUGUGGGGAGUGGAUUGCAUAAUUUGUAAUCUCCUUUUUACAAAAGAA
rnacentral:snRNA from 1 species